GAGUAGUAAUAGUUAUGUUCUUGAAACUUAAAGAAUUUGGCGGUAUUUUAAUCUGUUCAGAGGAACCUGUUCUGUAAUCGAUAAUCCACGAGGACUUUACUUAAGUUUGUUUCCAACUUGUAUACCGCCGUUAUUGAUUAUCUUAUAAAAGUAACAAUUUUCUUAAUUUUUGAAAAAAUAUCAGGUCAAGGUGCAGUUUAUGUUUAAGGAAGAAAUGGGUUACAAUAAAUAUAUUUAAACGGAAGAUUUAUUGAAAUAUAAAUUAUAAGGUGGAUUUGAUAGUAAAAUUUUGUAUAUAGUAAAUUUGAUUUUAGCUCUAAAAUAUGU
rnacentral:rRNA from 1 species